GGACUUCAUAGCUUACACUAUUUAGGAGCUGUGAAAUGUUUUGUUGCUGCAAUAAAACUUGACUUUGCAGCAUGCCUGGCUCCUGUGCUUUGCAGAGGAUGCUCCACUUCGCCUGCAGCGAUGCUUCCAGGAGGAGGUCAGCAGCUGAGGAAUGGGCCUUAUUUUCCUUCCCAAAUCCUACAGGGAAGAAGCGACCGCAUGCUAGUCAUUGUUUUGAGAUUAUUUAAGAAACCACUGCUAUUGAACUAGCAGGAGAUCCUCUCAUCUGUGACCUAUGCCAGAUCCAUCUGAUUGUUAUGCCCCAGCUGCAGGCCGUAAUUUUCAUGGGAAAGUUUUAAGAAUGCCUGAAGAGUGACCGUCCUCUUUGCUACCCCUCACUGAUUUGUAUGGACGUCUCCUGGCCUCUCCAACAGCACUGUGGAGAGGGUUGUUUGAUUUCUUUUUAAACGUUGUCCUGCCUUCCUCCUCUUUUUUGACAAAACUGUACAUACAUGAAGACUCACUGUGUGUUGAGCAUGGCACAUGAAUGGAGGGACCACUUUGAACUACUUUUGCAACGAGGGAUUCUGCUCGACUGAUAAUGAAACCGUGGGAUAGACCUCGGGGAGAGUGUUGGAGAGAAUGCACAGUUAAGAACUGAAUGGCAAGGCAGAGAUCUGUCUGAGGAAGGACUCUGGGGUGCUGUAAGAGAAGUUACACUGCCUUGGAGGUCUUUCUGCAGGAAAACCAGUCCUGGCCCAUGCUGCUCCACCACAGGAUCAAGAGAGGCCACAAGAAGAGCUUUUGAAGUGCUCCCUGAUCCUAACUACGGCUUAACCAGCUCUGUGAGAGAGUCAAGCAUGAUACUACCUGCUCUACUCAAGGUGUGGCCCAGCGCAUAAAGGCUUGUUUUGGGGAUCUGCACAGGGACUCUGGCUCUGCUGCUGCUUCAGCUCAAUGGGCCUGGUAGGUGACUUCAUUUCUUAUCCUCUGGUUGCACAGUUCCUAAAUCAAGAAUGUUGAUGUUUCGCCUCCCUUGCGAAGUGCUUUGUUUUCAUCAGAUAAUUGUUGUGGUGCAGGGUGUGGAUGCUGUUAUUGUUGUCAUUGUUGCUCUCUAGGAGCAAAUGUUGAGGAUCUGGGUGCUAAAUAUGAAAUACCAUACUUAGGUUUUCAAGGGGCUGGGAACAUCAGGCUUCCAGCUUUCUAUAAGCUUGAUGUUUUUCAGCUGUCCCAGAGUGGACACCGUAAAGCAAAGGCACGUUCAUGCUUUGCUUAGCCCAAAGAGUCCAGUGGACUUCUGCAGUAGUGGUUUGGAGAUAUGCAUUUUCAUAAUAAAGGUGGUGAGGGAGAUAAAAAAAUAAAAAAAAAAUAGUUGGUUUGGGAGAGGAGGCUCUUGGAUUAAUUGUGGGCAGUUCUAUCCAGCGAAGUAGAGUUCAUCUAUCUAACUUUUCCUUAUGUCAAUGCACGUGAUGUAGUACUGGAAGGGACCUUUUGCUUAAUUUCCUUGGUUUGUAUUAGUGAAGUGCUUGGGGAUUUGUUCUCCAUUCCUUUCGGCAAGUGCCAUGGUACAGCUUGUAUCCAUGUGGUUGGAAAUCUUUCCCCUCAAAACAAGGC
rnacentral:lncRNA from 1 species